rnacentral:tRNA from 3 species
GCCGGGGUGGUGAAAUGGUAUACACGCAAGACUUAAAAUCUUGUGUCCGUAAGGACGUGAGGGUUCGACUCCCUCUCUCGGCACCG